AGAAGACAUUUCUCAUGCCAAGGCAUGGGAAGCUGAUGCAGAAUUGCAGUACCACGAGCAGCAGGAGCCCCUGAGGAUAAACACCAUGUGGCUGCUCAGAAAGGAGAGGAAUGACUGCCAUUUACCACCUUUCUCAAUUAAACAGUCCCACAAUUCAGAUGAGGUAAGAGGGAUGGCAGUAGCAGGAGAGCUGAGUGCCACUCAGCAAGAGUGAGAUGUGCCUUUGCCAUGCUGGAUCAUGCCAAGCAGUACUGCCUGAGGUUUUGCAAAAUGAGGCUGGCACGGAGAUGAUGGGAAACACAACGUUGAAAUGGCACUUACAGCAUCCCAGAGGACCAUUCAAAGCAACAAAAAAACCUGGUGAUGUCCUUAAAGACUGCAGAUGGUUUCUUCAAGAUAUCUGUCACUUCUCUGGGGGAUAUUAACACCAAAUCAAAAUUCAAGUGUGACCUUUUCCACAGCACAAGAACAGAGCUUCUCUGGCAGCUGAAAGCCUGGGGCAAAUAAAUAUCCAUGUGCUCAGAGAAAUCUGUGAGUUGUUAAAUGAAGAGGCAGCAGCAGGAAGGCAGAGAAGAGGUGGGCUUUGGGGUGUUGCUUUCAUUUUUAUUCUCUGUGCAGGCCUGGAGUCAUUGGCAGCUGGGAAUGAGUCAAGAAGAAGCCAGCCCUGUACAGCUUGCUGGUGAAAAUUAGUUGGAGAAACACUGUUAAAUCCAAUAAGCAGACACAUGAAACCUAAACAAGAAGCAUCUCACCACAAGAGUUAUGUGCAAAUUAAAAGACAGUGAAGAGAGGGAACUUGAGGCUCCAAGUCAAGAGGCACAGUCAGGAAUGGCUGGAUUUCCUGGAGCAGCCAGAGCCAGGAUCACUGGGCUCCUGCUGUGAGGACAGGCUUGGAACUUCCUUCAGACCAAUAUUGUCCUGCCCUGGCACUCAGCAGAGCACAGCAUGUACAACCAAACCUGCCAGGACACAUCUGAUUAUGUGUCUGGCUUUGUUCCUUUAGUGUAAAUUUCUUUAGCAGUGAGAAAGAAAGGAGCUGGGAACAGUAGUUAGAAAUAUUAAAAUGUCCAAGAGAAAACUCCUUUCCCAUAACAAGAAGCUGUUCCAACUAGGACGUGUGGGAUAAUUAAGGAUAAGAUUUUGGGUUGCGAGUCUGCAGUGAUUUAACAGGCUGCAGAAAAAGUAGCCAUGGAAGACAGUGAAAUCCCAUUGGAUUAUUGUGGAACCUUCUCCUGUCUCUCUCCUGGAUUUGGGCUCCCACAUCACAGGGGAGGGAAGGCAGCAGCUUUUCUUCAAGGAUAUCUUUCAGAUUUAGGUGCUGGAACUCAGCGGAGCUGCUGAGCCAGAGUUCCCUUCACCUGAGCACGGGCAGUGUGGAAAAGCACACAUUGCCUUUUACCUUCUUUAAACCAUUAAAGCCAUUUUUCUAAUUGAUUACAACUGUUGUAAUGUGGUAGUUUUAACACAGUGAAUAAAGAUUACAUAUGAUUAGAUAAGCAGUUUAAAAGCUCAGAGAGCUGAAUAGUAGCAUUUAUUAAUUGUGCUCACUCAUUUAUCUUUGUGCUUUACUUAUGAUACAGUCCCUGAAACCUUAAUAAAACUGAAUCACAAAGAAAAGCUCAUUAUUUGGAAAAAAAAUGUACAUCCCACUUUUAAUGAGUUCAGUUUCUGUGGCCCUGCACAGAGGGCUCUUGCUGUCACCUGGGUGUGGGGCAAAGACCUGAGUGCAA